CGCUCUCCACCGUGGAUAGCUUCCAGCCCGUGUGUCGCUUUGGAUUUAGUACUGCUCCGUCAAUUUUAUUGUAAGUGAUGACCCGCGGCCUCUAAAGAAUGCUUUCGCCCUUAUCUCUAAAAUAUCCCUGACCCCCUGCCCAGGCUGUGCUCUCUCCCAUGAACAAAUUAUACCUGGCUGCUUUCCACCUGGGCGGCAGACAGCGAGCAUUUGACAUGGGGGCUUGGCCUGUCUCCACGCGGUCUGUUUGUCAAGGAGCGAAGUCUUGUGGUGAGCCCGCUGGCCUGGGAAUCCUAAUAACCCUGGAUCCGUGGGCAAUUUGGGGACACGGAACUUUCAGCGUGAGCCGUGGCUCCAAGGAUCCAGAGCCCAUGUCACAGGCUGGCCAGACCUACAUGAGAUGUCUUCCUAAAGAAAGGGCCCAUGAAGCAGAGGCCCCCACAGGUUUCAGUUAAUAUGCAAGUAACGGCUUUCACUACGGCGUUCUCAAGUCCACAUCCACCUAACAAUGCUCCUUAGUGUUUGUAAGAAGCCCUCUCCACCUGAGCACUGCACCAGCCAUUGGCCAUUAACUGCCCUUCAGGAAGCUUCAGAAAGACCAUAGGAGCUGCUUCUGUAGGAUUUCCCCUCCAGGAAAGUUGUUGGGUUUGCAGGAUCUGGCCUUAAACAGUGCUCAAACUCUAUGUAGGGUAAACACUCCCCCCCCCCCCCCCACACACACACACACUCAAAAGUCAGCACCAACCCGUGCCAAUUAGUCAGCCGGCUCCCCUUUGGAAUAAAAAUAAUGCAAUUAUCUAAAUUCUCGGUUGGCCAUGAAUUCAGCGGAGGUGCCUUGGAGUGUGUGAUCUCUGAAAUGCACAGGUAAUGGGGAGGUUUACUGGUUUACUGCAGGCUGUCUGCUUCAAAUGUCAGCGUGAAGUGAGGCAGCAGGUUCUUUUAACCAGCAUUUAUGCAACAUACCCCCAAAGCUGUGACUUGCAGAGGGAAAACGUCACCUUCUCUUUUUCGGACACCUUUUACUUGUUAUUUCCAUAGGAAAUUAUUCUUUCAGGGGUAGCUCCGUCUGUCAGCCCAGCAUUCCUGGCUGCCACAGAAGCAGUUCUUACAGCAUCCCACCUCCUCAAUAACUUUCUCUUUAGCUUCAGCGCCCCUGGAUUUUAUUUAUACCUGACAAUUCCCUGGGGUUUCCUGGCAGGAAACGUUAGUGAGAGCUGGGAGCACGUGGUUUAAACAUUCAGCGCUGUGUAAUUUUUCUUUAUUAGUGUUUCCCAAUCUGAAGAGGACAGCGGAUCCACUCCACACCAAAGGCUGCCCACUUUUUCAGUGUUUCCAGUCCCAUCACUAAUUGUAAGCCUUAAGGUACCAACUCACUGGUCUGCUUUGUCGGUACAAAGGAGGCUGGGAUUGGGGAGACGGCUCAGUGGGUUAAGUGCUUGCUGCACAAACAUGAGGGCUUGAAUUUGGAUCCCAGCACCCACAUAAAAGUCAGGUGUGGUAACACAUACCUGUACCCCAGGCUCUAGGGAUAGAGCAGAUAGGAGGGUCAUUAGGACUUGCUGGCUAGCCAGUCCAUCCAAAACAGCAAAUUAUGGGUUUAAGUGAGAGACACUGUCUUAAAAAACAAUGUGUAGAGAGAUAAAGGAAGAUGGACAUUAACCUCUGGCUUUAACAGAGUCCUGCACAGACACAGACACGCACACACAAAAAAAAAAACCACACACACCCAGAUACACACAGACAGAAGACACACACAGAUACACAACACAGACACACAGACAUACACAGACACACAUAUACAUGUAAGUUUGUGUAAGUACACACACAUUCAUACAUGCACAUGUGUUCUGGGGCUGGGGUGUACCUCUGUAGUAGAGCCUCUGCCUAGAGCUAGGCCCUGAGUUCCAACCCUGUACUCCCGAAGUGCAGUUUUGUUGGGUUGGCAUAGCUCCCACUGAGUGAAGGAAAUGAAGUUCCUUGCACACUCUCUGUGCAAGGCUCCAUGGAUUUGCUCACCUCCGUAGUUUCCUUUUCACAGGCAUUGUAACUGGUCAGGAUAAAAGUGCCCCCCUCUGUCACUGGCCAUAGCCCCUUACACACCUGGCUUUCCAGCUAUGGACCUGGCGUAUGAACCACGUCCCUUCCUCAUUCUGCUUCGGGACCCCUGGCAGCCCCUCCACCACUGACCUCUCAAGCAUUGUGAGGCUGUCACUCAAGAAAGCAGAACCAGAUGAGUCUGGCUGCCUAUCAUCAUCGGAGUUCACCACGAGGAAGGUAAAAGGCUUCCCGACUCACCUGGAAGCACACUGGAGGAGCCACCAUCUGGUGGAAGUGGGUCCAACGCAGAGAAGGCUUUGUUUUCAAGAGAAGGGGUUUUACCAAGUUAGACUCAUAACCCCGGGGGCACAACUGCACCCAUGGGGCUCCCUUAUCAGCAAACUGACCUUGCAGUUUUCUUUCUUUCUUUCUU